UAGGGAAUCUUCCACAAUGGCGCAAGUCUGAUGGAGCAACGCCGCGUGAGUGAAGAAGGUUUUCGGACCGUAAAGCUCUGUUGUUGGUGAAGAAGGAUAGAGGUAGUAACUGGCCCUUUUAUUUGACGGUAAUCAACCAGAAAGUCACGGCUAACUACGUGCCAGCAGCCGCGGUAAUCGUAGGUGGCAAGCGUUGUCCGGAUUUAUUGGGCGUAAAGCGAGCGCAGGCGGAAGAAUAAGUCUGAUGUGAAAGCCCUCGGCUUAACCGAGGAAUUGCAUCGGAAACUGUUUUUCUUGAGUGCAGAAGAGGAGAGUAGAACUCCAUGUGUAGCGGUGGAAUGCGUAGAUAUAUGGAAGAAUACCAGUGGCGAAGGCGGCUCUCUGGUCUGCAACUGACGCUGAGGCUCGAAAGCAUGGGUAGCGAACAGGAUUAGAUACCCUGGUAGUCCAUGCCGUAAACGACGAGUGCUAAGUGUUGGGAGGCUUCCGCCUCUCAGUGCUGCAGCUAACGCAUUAAGCACUCCGCCUGGGGGAGUACGACCGCAAGGUUG
rnacentral:rRNA from 1 species